CACGGGGGGAGCAAGCGUUGUUCGGAUUCAUUGGGCGUAAAGGGCUCGUAGGUGGCUUUGUAAGUCGGAGGUGAAAUCCCACGGCUCAACCGUGGACACGCCUUCGAAACUGUGAAGCUUGAGGCUGGGAGAGGAGAUCGGAAUUCCUGGUGUAGCGGUGAAAUGCGUUGAUAUCCACAGGAACUCCGGUGGCGAAGGCGGCACGCUGGACCCUCUCUGACGCUGAGGCGCGAAAGCCAGGGGAGCGAACGGG
rnacentral:rRNA from 1 species